GCGACCCCAGGAUGGGCGGGGU
rnacentral:rRNA from 10 species